GAGCUUCUGGUCAUGAACUCCUGCAACUUGCUAAACUAAAACGUAAAACUGAACUAAAAUAAGAAAAACUAACUACCAAAUAAAAAANGGGUGUAUGAUCCAAAUGCUCAAGAUUGCUCUUGUGCUUCGCUGAUGAACUUGACUCUCCUGUCUUCUUUCCCGACUUCCUAGAAAAGGCUGACUUCAGUUCUUGCAAGGGCGUCUUUUUCUUGUGAAGUGCAGAUUCGGGGUCUUCUAGUGGUGGCACCAAGUGUGUGUUUGAGCUUCUAGUCAUGAACUCCUGCAAGUUGCUAAACUAAAAGCGUAAAACUGAACUAAAAUGAGAAAAACUAAAUUCAAACUAAAAAUCUAAUUUUUUAACUGUCCACGUCGUGGCCAGAGGAGUGCCACGUCGUGGACUCUGUGAAUGACAGAAAAAUUAUUUUGCUGAAAAAUUAACUUUUUGUGGGUUUUUACUCCACAAGAAGGAUCGAUCAAAUUAAUGCAAAUAAAUAAGCUAAAAACUAAGCCGUUCCUCGGCAACGGCGCCAAAAACUUGAUGUGCACAAAAGUACCCACUAAUUUUA
rnacentral:lncRNA from 1 species